rnacentral:misc_RNA from 1 species
AUCGGCACAAAUCCCCAAAUUUCCGGCAGGUGGCAAUCUCUCCUUCCACCGCCACUGCCGGAAUCCACCAUUUUACUAAAACACCCUUCGACAAACUUACGAAAACACCCCUGAUGCAAAAUCCAAUAUUUAAAUCACUUCCACAGUCAGUUUCGCACUCAUUGUUUUCUCCAUCUCUUACCAUCAUUGUGCCCAAAAGGAGAACAGCUAGGGCAAUAAUGCCUUGUACUUCGCUAGUUGAAUCCAGCGACGGCAACGGAGCUGUGCGUAGUUUCAAACUGAAAGAGUCAACUUUCCUUGCUGCUCAAAUGCCGAAGAAAGAGAUUGCUGCUGAUCGGUUCAUCGAAGCUCAUCCCGAGUACGAUGGUCGCGGUGUCAUCAUUGCUAUUUUCGAUUCUGGAGUUGAUCCCGCUGCGGCUGGAUUACGAGUUACCUCUGAUGGAAAGCCGAAGGUCAUUGAUGUUAUAGAUUGUACUGGGAGCGGAGAUGUUGAUACUUCUACAGUGGUAAAGGCUGAUGACAAUUGUUGUAUUACUGGAGCUUCUGGGGCUUCUCUUGUCAUAAAUUCUUCGUGGAAGAAUCCAUCUGGUGAGUGGCAUGUUGGCUGCAAAUUGGUGUAUGAGCUCUUUACUGAUACACUGACCUCUCGAGUAAAGAAAGAACGAAAGAGAAGGUGGGAUGAGAAAAAUCAAGAAGCAAUAGCAGAGGCUGUAAAGCAGCUUGAUCAAUUUGAUAAGAAGCACACAAAAGUCGAAGGUGCGCACUUGAAAAUGGUCCGUGAAGACCUCCAGAAUAGAGUUGAUCUUCUGCGCAAGCAAGCUGAUAGCUACGAUGACAAGGGACCAGUUAUUGAUGCUGUCGUAUGGCAUGAUGGGGAGCUUUGGAGAGCUGCUUUGGACACACAGAGUCUUGAGGAUGAAUCAGGAUGUGGAAAGCUUGCAGAUUUUGUUCCUUUAACUAAUUACAGGCUUGAACAAAAGCAUGGAGUUUUUAGUAAAUUGGAUGCCUGUACAUGUGUGCUAAAUGUCUACAAUGAAGGGAAUAUUUUAAGUAUCGUGACAGAUAGUUCCCCACAUGCCACACACGUUGCUGGUAUUGCCGCUGCCUUCCACCCGGAGGAACCUUUACUAAAUGGAGUUGCACCUGGAGCACAAAUUGUGUCUUGUAAAAUUGGGGAUUCACGGUUGGGUUCUAUGGAAACAGGAACUGGUUUGACUAGGGCCUUGAUUGCAGCUGUAGAGCAUAAAUGUGAUCUCAUCAAUAUGAGUUACGGAGAACCUACACUGCUGCCAGACUAUGGUCGCUUUGUUGACCUUGUCAAUGAGGUGGUCAACAAACACCGCCUAAUAUUUGUCAGUAGUGCUGGCAAUAAUGGGCCAGCUUUGACUACUGUGGGUGCACCUGGUGGCACCAGUUCAAGCAUAAUUGGAGUAGGUGCAUAUGUUUCUCCAGCUAUGGCUGCUGGUGCUCACUUAUUAGUUGAGCCACCUACUGAAGGCCUUGAAUACACCUGGUCUAGUCGGGGACCCACUGUGGAUGGUGAUCUUGGUGUCUCCAUAAGUGCCCCUGGUGGUGCGGUGGCCCCUGUGCCCACAUGGACCCUUCAAAGACGCAUGUUAAUGAACGGAACAUCAAUGUCAUCUCCUUCUGCUUGUGGAGGUGUGGCUUUAAUCGUCAGUGCUAUGAAGGCGGAAGGUAUUCCUGUUAGUCCAUACACUGUACGGAAGGCUCUUGAAAAUACAUCUAUACCCAUAGGUGCUUUACCAGAAGAAAAAUUAACCGCUGGACAGGGACUCAUGCAAGUUGACAAGGCUUAUGAUUACAUGCAAAAGGUGCAAAAUCUUCCCUGUGUGUGGUAUCAAGUAAAAAUUAAGCAGGCUGGCAUCACAAGCAAACCAACUUCGUCUGCUACGUCUCGAGGCAUCUACCUUAGGGAGCCUUUAUAUUGUCACCAAUCUACAGAGUGGACUGUGGAAAUAGCACCGAAGUUCCAUGAAGAUGCAAAUAACUUGGACCAAUUGGUUCCUUUUGAAGAGUGCAUUGAGUUGCAUUCUACUGGAGAGGCAGUGGUGAGAGCUCCUGACUACCUCCUCCUCACCCAUAAUGGGCGCAGCUUCAGCAUAGUUGUGGACCCCACCAAUUUAAGUGAUGGCUUGCAUUAUUAUGAAGUAUAUGGCGUAGACAGCAAGGCACCAUGGCGAGGACCACUUUUCAGAAUUCCAGUGACUAUAACAAAGCCCUCUAUUGUAACAAGUAGACCCCCUCUAAUUUCCUUCCAAGGAAUUUCAUUUGUACCAGGCCAAAUUGAAAGGAGAUUUAUUGAGGUACCAUUUGGUGCUACCUGGGUGGAGGCCACCAUGAGGACAUAUGGGUUUGAUACGGCUAGAAGAUUCUUCAUAGAUACUGUUCAGCUCUCCCCAUUGCAAAGGCCCAUUAAGUGGGAAAGCGUGGCCACAUUUUCAUCACCUUCAUCCAAAAACUUUGUGUUUCGAGUGGAGGGUGGUCAGACAAUGGAACUAGCAAUAGCCCAAUUUUGGUCCAGCGGCAUAGGCAGUCAUGAAACAACUAUUGUUGAUUUUGAGAUUGCAUUCCGUGGUAUAAAGAUCAGCAAAGAGGAAGUAGUUCUUGAUGGAAGCGAAGCACCUGUGAGGAUUGAUGCUGAAGCUCUUCUGUCAACUGAAAAACUUGUCCCUUCUGCUGUGCUCAACAAGAUAAGAGUUCCGUAUCGUCCAAUUGAUUGCAAACUGCAUGCACUUUCAGCAGAUCGGGACAAAUUACCCUCAGGAAAACAGAUUCUGGCUCUUACAUUAACUUACAAAUUCAAACUGGAGGAUGAUGCUGAACUGAAGCCUCAGAUUCCUUUACUUAACAAUCGAAUCUAUGAUAACAAAUUUGAGUCUCAGUUUUAUAUGAUAUCGGAUGUGAAUAAGCGUGUGCAUGCUAAGGGUGAUGUUUAUCCAGAUUCUUCCAAACUUCCGAAGGGUGAAUAUACUGUACAGCUAUAUCUGAGGCAUGACAAUGUACAGUACCUAGAGAAGAUGAAGCAACUGGUGUUAUUCAUCGAAAGAAAAUUGGAGGAAAAGGUACACUGCUAUCACUGCUACUCUCUUUACAGAUCAAAAUUUUAUCAGUCUGAACUAAUCAAUAGUUGAGAAGCAGGCAUACAUCUCCUUUUAUUUGAUGCAUUGGUCCUUUCAGUUGUGUAGUUGCUAUCCUUCUUUACAUGUUGAGGAUUACAUGUUUAAACUCAUGAAGUUUCACUUGCUUUUGAAAGUUAUUGUGUUCACCUGCAGCAGUCAAGUAAGAAGACCAGCCAAAAUACAUCUUGACCUCCUAAUACUCUCUCAACACUCACCUUAACUUGGCCAAAGAAUGGUUGUAGAAAAGAAGUUUGGACUGAAUUAAGGGUUCAAGUGCUGAUUCCAACUAGUUUCGGAUUUAACGCUUGGUGAUGGCUAUUUAUUUCCUUCAUUUUCCAACAAUAGGAAAUUGACGAUCUCCUUGAUAAAGACAUUGUUCGGUUGAACUUGUAUUCUCAGCCUGAUGGCCCACUAACGGGUGAUGGUUCCUUCAACUCUUCAGAUCUAGUUCCAGGAGUGAAAGAAGCAUUUUAUGUGGGUCCUCCAGCGAAGGACAAGCUCCCAAAGAAUUCCCGUGAAGGAUCUGUAUUGUUUGGCCCAAUCUCAUAUGAAGGGGGAAAAGGUCUGCAGAAGAAUCCUGCUUCUUAUCAAAUAUCUUAUAUUGUGCCACCAAUUAAGCUUGACGAGGACAAAGGAAAAAGUUCGAGUGACACCAAGUCUGUCUCAGAAAGACUAGAAGAAGAGGUCCGUGAUGCUAAAAUAAAGAUUCUUUCUAGCUUGAAUCAAGGCACAGAUGAGGAACGUGCUGAAUGGAAAAAGUUAUCUCAGUCACUUAAGUCAGAGUACCCUAAAUACACUCCUUUGCUUGCUAAAAUACUGGAAGGCGUGCUUUCUCGGAGCAAUAUUGAGGAUAAAUUCCAUCAUUUCACAGAGAUAAUCAGUGCAGCAGACGAGGUUAUUGCUAGCAUCGAUAGAGAUGAAUUGGCAAAAUGUUGUGCCCUCAGAAGUGAUCCAGAAGACGAGGCUACAGAAAAACUGAAGAAGAAGAUGGAGACGACCCGUGACCAGUUAACUGAAGCACUCUACCAGAAGGGAUUGGCUUUGGCUGAGCUUGAAGCAUUGAAGGGUGAAAGCACUGUGGAUAAGGUAGAUAUGUUUGAAGAGAACUUCAAAGAGCUAAAGAAAUGGGUGGAUCUGAAGUCCUCUAAAUAUGGCAUACUUUCAGUUUUCCGUGAGAGGCAUCAUGGGAGACUUGGAACCGCACUUAAGGUUCUAAAUGACAUGAUACAAGAUGAUGGUAACCCACCCAAGAAGAAGUUUUAUGAACUAAAGCUCUCUUUGCUCGAUCAGAUAGGAUGGAGCCACUUGGUGGCAUAUGAGAAACAGUGGAUGCAAGUACGAUUUCCAUCAUCACUACCUCUUUUUUAGUUUUUGUUCAGUGAGCGCACAAAAUUUUAGUAGAAUAUGAGAGAAAGAGAAGAUGUGACGGAGUUCUGCAAAAAAAAAAAAAACACUAUUACUUGUGGCGCAGUGCAAUGUUGAUUAAGAUUCUUUCUUUCUUUUCAAUAAUCAUCUAGUUUGUUUUCUUCAGUCCUACUUAAAAGCAGGAUUGCAAGUAUAAACUAUGUAAUUUAAAAUCUAAAUGUUGUAUAAGAUUUGUUUCAUGUGAACUUUUGUUGUGUAUCAUCUGGGUGUUUAUGGUUUCCGUGGACAUUCAAACACAUCAUUCAGAAUACGGUUAUAUAAGGG